rnacentral:sRNA from 1 species
UCGUUGCAAGUUCCCGAGAGGAUUCGUUUCUUGACGAAGAUGCCUUGUAACCGAAUAAAUUUUAGGGGGAAUUAUUAU